rnacentral:tRNA from 1 species
AUUUCCAAAGUGUAGUGGUCAUCAUGUCUGCUUUACAGGCAGAAAGUCCUUGGUUCAAUCCCCAGUGGAGCCA